rnacentral:rRNA from 1 species
AUUGAACGCUGGCGGCAUGCCUUACACAUGCAAGUCGAACGGCAGCACGGGAGCAAUCCUGGUGGCGAGUGGCGAACGGGUGAGUAAUAUAUCGGAACGUGCCCAGUCGUGGGGAUAACGUAGCGAAAGCUACGCUAAUACCGCAUACGAUCUAUGGAUGAAAGCGGGGGGAUCGCAAGACCUCGCGCGAUUGGAGCGGCCGAUAUCAGAUUAGGUAGUUGGUGAGGUAAAGGCUCACCAAGCCGACGAUCUGUAGCUGGUCUGAGAGGACGACCAGCCACACUGGGACUGAGACACGGCCCAGACUCCUACGGGAGGCAGCAGUGGGGAAUUUUGGACAAUGGGCGCAAGCCUGAUCCAGCAAUGCCGCGUGCAGGAUGAAGGCCUUCGGGUU